rnacentral:rRNA from 1 species
UACGUAGGGUGCGAGCGUUAAUCGGAUUUACUGGGCGUAAAGCGUGCGCAGGCGGCCCGUUAAGACAGGUGUGAAAUCCCUGGGCUCAACCUAGGAAUUGCGCUUGUGACUGGAGGACUAGAGUACGGUAGAGGGGGGUGGAAUUCCUGGUGUAGCAGUGAAAUGCGUAGAGAUCAGGAGGAACACCGAUGGCGAAGGCAGCCCCCUGGGACUGUACUGACGCUCAUGCACGAAAGCGUGGGGAGCAAACAGG